AGGAGCCCUGUGCGGUGAAAGUCGCACGCACGGUUUUGAAGCAGAGGGCAAGAAGGCGACUUCUUGCUCGACUGUAAC
rnacentral:ncRNA from 1 species